UACGUAGGUGGCAAGCGUUGUCCGGAAUUAUUGGGCGUAAAGCGCGCGCAGGCGGCCUUUUAAGUCUGAUGUGAAAGCCCACGGCUCAACCGUGGAAGGUCAUUGGAAACUGAAAGGCUUGAGUACAGAAGAGGAGAGUGGAAUUCCACGUGUAGCGGUGAAAUGCGUAGAGAUGUGGAGGAACACCAGUGGCGAAGGCGACUCUCUGGUCUGUAACUGACGCUGAGGCGCGAAAGCGUGGGGAGCAAACAGG
rnacentral:rRNA from 1 species